UCAGUAUUCAGUUUAGCUUGUAGCUCCAAUGAAUCUACCAGUGUUGUUGCAGUAGGUAGCUAAUCAGGCAUCAGUGGGCAGGAGAGGGCUCCACCAAAACCCCACCAGGAAUGUCAGGCAUCAGGUGAUGGUCAGGCGGUUGUUAACUGUCUCUCUAAAAUAAUAAUUGGUUGCAGCCAGCAGCAGGGAAAGGCAGUCUUUCUACAGAUAGGAAACACCUGAGACUGGUGAUCAGCCGCUUCCUGAUGAGAUCUCAGGAGUGAGCUCGAGCAUGCGCAUUAAGAAACAAAAUGGCCGAGUUUAACUGGUAUGUGAACGUUUUAAGAUUUGACUCAGGGGCAUAAAGGCAGAAAAAGAGACUGAGGCAAGUUUUAGGGCAGGAGUGGAAGGCAAGAAUUGAUGUUGCUGCAGACCUGUACGGAUUUGCUGCUGGUUACAUCUACUACAAUACUGCAGAUACAGUAUAACAUUGGUAUUGCUGGUAUGAUUCCUCUCCCUUAGGGGUGUGCCUUCACUCUUUAUCUGACCUUCUUCUGGAUACAGCAAACACUUGUGGACCAGCUGCACUGAAGCAUUAAACAAGUACUAUCAACGGACUUUUCCCACUUAACUGCUGGAUACUUACAAAGAAACUGCUGAGGAUUAGCUUGCAAACAUAGAAACUUCAGUCAACAUCCACAGGAGCUGAUUUAC
rnacentral:lncRNA from 1 species